rnacentral:rRNA from 1 species
AGCAUAUUAAUAAGCGGAAGAAGAGAAACCCAACAGGGAUUCUAUUAGUAAUGGCGAAUGAACAUAGAUGGGCCAUCAUUGAAUUCUGCCACAGAUCGUGGUUAGAAGGUGUAAUGUUGGCGUAGUCGCACAUGAUAUUGUCAGGGUGCAGUGCAAGUUUGAUUGAAUGGUACUUUCCCAUAGAGGGUGAAAGGCCCGUGGUGCUACACCUUUGAUAAUUUCGUGACUGCGUUUGAGUAGAAUUGCUUGAGAGUGCAGUUCGAAUAUUGUGUGGCAAACCCCAUACAAGCCUAAAUAUUUCUGCGAGACCGAUAGCGAACAAGUACCAUGAGGGAAAGUUGAAAAGUACUCUGAAAAGAGGGUUCAUAAGCACGUGAAACUGUACUCCGUAAAGCGAAUGAUUGGGUGAUAUGGAUGACAAUCAAUCAGGCGAGCCGUUUCCAAAGCUGUUUGAUGAUUAAUGAUGAGGCGAUGRUGACGGAACGCUGUAUUUGGUUGCAUCCUAUGUUGCUCGGCAAGUUGUCGGUAGCGCAGUGUAUUGAUGGAUUGAACCGUCGUUGGAUGGUUUCAUGAGCAAAGCAUUGUAGUGUUGUUACUUACAGCAGUUACCGUCAACUUGCUUUUGCAAAGCGGCUAUACUUGAAAUGCAUAGAUUCGUGCUGCGGUUUGCAAAAGCUGUUUGUACGCUUCUAUGCAGAAAAGGUACUGGUUCAAUGAGAGCAACGUAAUUGCUAUGAAUCAUUCGAACCGUCUUGAAACACGGACUAAGGAGUUCAACUUGAACGCAAGUUUGUUUUCAUAAUGAAAUUUGAAGGCGAAGUGAAAACAACUUCUCAAAGAUGCUAACUGAAGUAUUUCUGAUGGUACGCACAAGUGAUGAGUGGCACAUUUGUAAUUGUUGUCUACUGCACCUGAGCGUUCAGGUUGAGACCCGAAAGAUGGUGAACUAUGCCUGAGUAGAAUGAAGCCAGGGGAAACUCUGGUGGAGGUUCGUAGCGGUUUUGACGUGCAAAUCAAUCGCCGAACUUGGGUAUAGGGGCGAAAGACUAAUCGAACCAUCUAGUAGCUGGUUCCCUCCGAAGUUU